AGAACGAACGCUGGCGGCGUGGAUAAGACAUGCAAGUCGAACGCGACUUAUCUGGUUAGCAAUAACCAGGUGAGUUGAGUGGCGAAAGGGUGCGUAACACGUGGGGAUUUACCAAGAAGUGGGGAAUAGCUCGACGAAAGUCGAAUUAAUACCGCAUACGAUCGCAAGAUCAAAGCCGGGGACCGCAAGGCCUGGCGCUUUUUGAGAAGCCCGCGGCCCAUCAGCUAGUUGGCGGGGUAACGGCCCACCAAGGCUAUGACGGGUAGCUGGUCUGAGAGGACGACCAGCCACACUGGAACUGAGACACGGUCCAGACACCUACGGGUGGCAGCAGUCGAGAAUUUUUCACAAUGGACGAAAGUCUGAUGGAGCGACGCCGCGUGGAGGAUGAAGGUUUCGGAUUGUAAACUCCUGUCACUGCAGAACAAGGAUACGUCAGUUAACAGCCGAUGUAUUUGAUGGUAUGCGGAGAGGAAGGGACGGCUAACUCUGCG
rnacentral:rRNA from 1 species